ensembl:scaRNA small Cajal body-specific RNA 6
GGUCAGUGAUGAACAGUAAAAGGUCUGAUUUGCCCAGUGGUUUUGCCUCCUUUACCAUCGCAGCUCCCAGCAUUUUCUCUUCCAUCAUAUUCUAGACAUGCUAUGAUUGGGAGAGUAUUUGCUGAUAAAUAGAGAUACGUUCAGUUUGUGUUACUCUAGAGCACUGGGUAGACGUGACUGACAUUGUUAUCCAACAUAUACAGAUAAUGGAGUUUUUGAGGUAUUGGAGCCACUUUAUGGGUAUAUGAUCUCAAAUUUUUAGCUGAGACC